rnacentral:rRNA from 1 species
CUGGGGCGGUCUCCUCCUAAAGAGUAACGGAGGAGCACGAAGGUUGGCUAAUCCUGGUCGGACAUCAGGAGGUUAGUGCAAUGGCAUAAGCCAGCUUGACUGCGAGCGUGACGGCGCGAGCAGGUGCGAAAGCAGGUCAUAGUGAUCCGGUGGUUCUGAAUGGAAGGGCCAUCGCUCAACGGAUAAAAGGUACUCCGGGGAUAACAGGCUGAUACCGCCCAAGAGUUCAUAUCGACGGCGGUGUUUGGCACCUCGAUGUCGGCUCAUCACAUCCUGGGGCUGAAGUAGGUCCCAAGGGUAUGGCUGUUCGCCAUUUAAAGUGGUACGCGAGCUGGGUUUAGAACGUCGUGAGACAGUUCGGUCCCUAUCUGCCGUGGGCGCUGGAGAAUUGAGGGGGGCUGCUCCUAGUACGAGAGGACCGGAGUGGACGCAUCACUGGUGUUCGGGUUGUCAUGCCAAUGGCACUGCCCGGUAGCUAAAUGCGGAAAAGAUAAGUGCUGAAAGCAUCUAAGCACGAAACUUGCCCCGAGAUGAGUUCUCCCUGAGACUAUAAGUCUCCUGAAGGAACGUUGAAGACGACGACGUUGAUAGGUCGGGUGUGUAAGCGUAGCGAUACGUUGAGCUAACCGGUACUAAUGAACCGUGAGGCUUAACCUUACAACGCCGAAG